rnacentral:rRNA from 1 species
CUCUUCGGGGAUGAUUAAACCGGCGCACGGGUGAGUAACACGUGAGUGACCUGCCUUUUAGACUGGAACAACUUACCGAAAGGUGAGCUAAUGCCGGAUGAGUUAUAUAAGUGCAUGUUUAUAUAGGAAAAGUUGGGGAGACCUGACGCUGAAAGAUGGACUCGCGUCCCAUUAGCUAGUUGGUAGGGUAAUGGCCUACCAAGGCGACGAUGGGUAGCCGGCCUGAGAGGGUGGCCGGCCACACUGGGACUGAGACACGGCCCAGACUCCUACGGGAGGCAGCAGUGGGGAAUUUUGCGCAAUGCUCGUAAGAGUGACGCAGCGACGCCGCGUGAAUGACGAAGGCCUUCGGGUCGUAAAGUUCUUUCGACAGGGAAGAAAAUGCCUAUAAGUAACUGUGUAUGUAUUGACGGUACCUGUAUAAGCAGCCCUGGCUAACUCCGUGCCAGCAGCCGCGGUAAUACGGAGGGGGCGAGCGUUGUUCGGAGUGACUGGGCGUAAAGAGCACGUAGGCGGUGUUGUAAGUCAUUAGUCAAAGACUAGAGCUCAACUUUAGUAAGGCUAGUGAUACUAUAAUACUAGAGUAUCAGAGAGGAUUGCAGAAUUCCUGGUGUAGCGGUGAAAUGCGUAGAUAUCAGGAGGAAUACCGUUAGCGAAGGCGGCAAUCUGGCUGGAAACUGACGCUGAGGUGCGAAAGCGUGGGUAGCAAACAGGAUUAGAUACCCUGGUAGUCCACGCUGUAAACGAUGGAUGCUAGGUGUUGGGCUUU